UACAGAGGGUGCGAGCGUUGUCCGGAAUCACUGGGCGUAAAGGGCGCGUAGGCGGCCUGGUAAGUAGGAGGUGAAAUCUUGCGGCUCAACUGCAAGGCUGCCUCCUAAACUGCCGGGCUGGAGCACGGUAGAGGCAGAUGGAAUUCCCGGUGUAGCGGUGGAAUGCGUAGAGAUCGGGAAGAACAUCGGUGGCGAAGGCGGUCUGCUGGGCCGUUGCUGACGCUGAGGCGCGACAGCGUGGGGAGCAAACAGG
rnacentral:rRNA from 1 species